rnacentral:rRNA from 1 species
CGCGUGUAGCAGUGAAAUGCGUAGAUAUGCGGAGGAACACCGAUGGCGAAGGCAGCCCCCUGGGAUAAUACUGACGCUCAUGCACGAAAGCGUGGGGAGCAAACAGGAUUAGAUACCCUGGUAGUCCACGCCCUAAACGAUGCCGACUAGUUGUUGGGAAUUUACAUUCUCAGUAACGUAGCUAACGCGUGAAGUCGGCCGCCUGGGGAGUACGGUCGCAAGAUUAAAACUCAAAGGAAUUGACGGGGACCCGCACAAGCCGUGGAUGAUGUGGAUUAAUUCGAUGCAACGCGAAAAACCUUACCUACCCUUGACAUGUCACUAACGAAGUAGAGAUACAUUAGGUGCCCGUAAGGGAAAGUGAACACAGGUGCUGCAUGGCUGUCGUCAGCU